UGGUGGUGAGAUGGAGGUUUGAUAGCCUUUACUGGUGGUGGAGUGGAGGAGAAUUUAGAAGAAAAUGGGUGAUUUAGGUGGUAAAAUGAAAGAAAAUAAGAAAAAAUUGGAGUAAGGAGGAGGAUGGCAAAAAGAGGGGAGGAGACCAAAAUGAAAAACAUAAAAAGUAAAAUGAGUAUGUCUAGGUGCAUGGUCGGUGAAGGUAAGGUUAGGGAGGGAAAAUGGUCUAUUGAGGGGAAAAAGGCAUGGAAAGG
rnacentral:lncRNA from 1 species